rnacentral:rRNA from 1 species
AGUGAACGCUGGCGGUAGGCCUAACACAUGCAAGUCGAACGGCAGCACAGUAAGAGCUUGCUCUUACGGGUGGCGAGUGGCGGACGGGUGAGGAAUACAUCGGAAUCUACUUUUUCGUGGGGGAUAACGUAGGGAAACUUACGCUAAUACCGCAUACGACCUACGGGUGAAAGCAGGGGAUCUUCGGACCUUGCGCGAUUGAAUGAGCCGAUGUCGGAUUAGCUAGUUGGCGGGGUAAAGGCCUACCAAGGCGACGAUCCGUAGCUGGUCUGAGAGGAUGAUCCGCCACACUGGAACUGAGACACGGUCCAGACUCCUACGGGAGGCAGCAGUGGGGAAUAUUGGACAAUGGGCGCAAGCCUGAUCCAGCCAUACCGCGUGGGUGAAGAAGGCCUUCGGGUUGUAAAGCCCUUUUGUUGGGAAAGAAAAGCAGCAGGUUAAUACCCCGCUGUUCUGACGGUACCCAAAGAAUAAGCACCGGCUAACUUCGUG